rnacentral:tRNA from 1 species
GAUGAUGGCGCAACGGUAGCGCAGUGGACUCCAGUAAUGGGAUAUCCAAAGGCUGUCGGUUCGAAUCCGGUUCAU